AUUGAACGCUGGCGGCGUGCUUAACACAUGCAAGUCGAUCGGUAACAGGUGUAGCAAUACAUGCUGACGAGAGGCGGACGGGUGAGUAAUGCUUGGGAAUCUGCCUAUUAGUGGGGGACAACCCGGGGAAACUCGGGCUAAUACCGCAUACGCUCUACGGAGGAAAGCCGGGGACCGCAAGGCCUGGCGCUAAUAGAUGAGCCCAAGUCGGAUUAGCUAGUUGGUAGGGUAACGGCCUACCAAGGCGACAAUCCGUAGCUGGUCUGAGAGGACGACCAGCCACACCGGAACUGAGACACGGUCCGGACUCCUACGGGAGGCAGCAGUGGGGAAUAUUGGACAAUGGGGGCAACCCUGAUCCAGCGACGCCGCGUGGGUGAAGAAGGCCUGCGGGUUGUAAAGCCCUUUCGGUGGGGAAGAAAAGUCUCGACCUAAUACGUCGGGACCUUGACGUAACCCACUAAAGAAGCACCGGCUAACUCUGUGCCAGCCGCCGCAGUAAU
rnacentral:rRNA from 1 species